UACGUAGGGUGCGAGCGUUGUCCGGAAUUACUGGGCGUAAAGAGCUCGUAGGUGGUUUGUCGCGUUGUUCGUGAAAACUCACAGCUUAACUGUGGGCGUGCGGGCGAUACGGGCAGACUGGAGUACUGCAGGGGAGACUGGAAUUCCUGGUGUAGCGGUGGAAUGCGCAGAUAUCAGGAGGAACACCUGCGGCGAAGGCGGGUUGCUGGGCUGACACUGACGCUGAUGCGCGAAAGCCAGGGGAGCGAACGGG
rnacentral:rRNA from 1 species